GAAGGAACAUUCAAGCACAUCAAUCACACCCGAACUUGUAAAGCAUAGACCUGCAGCACCUUUGGGACUAAUGACACAAAGGUCAAGGCCAGCCUGGCGACCAUGCUUGCGAAGGAGUAGUGUAAAUAUUUAAUCUGUUUCCAUAAUAGCAUAAGACAUGAAUUUAAGGAAUUCAUCUAUUAUAUCGAGCAAUAAAAACGGUUAAUGCAUUGCC